rnacentral:rRNA from 1 species
UUAUUCGAUGCAACGCGAAGAACCUUACCUACUCUUGACAUCNANAGAACUUWNCAGAGAUGNUUUGGUGCCUUCGGGAACUCUGAGACAGGUGCUGCAUGGCUGUCGUCAGCUCGUGUUGUGAAAUGUUGGGUUAAGUCCCGCAACGAGCGCAACCCUUAUCCUUUGUUGCCAGCGGUNNGGCCGGGAACUCAAAGGAGACUGCCAGUGAUAAACUGGAGGAAGGUGGGGAUGACGUCAAGUCAUCAUGGCCCUUACGAGUAGGGCUACACACGUGCUACAAUGGCGCAUACAAAGAGAAGCGACCUCGCGAGAGCAAGCGGACCUCAUAAAGUGCGUCGUAGUCCGGAUUGGAGUCUGCAACUCGACUCCAUGAAGUCGGAAUCGCUAGUAAUCGUGGAUCAGAAUGCCACGGUGAAUACGUUCCCGGGCCUUGUACACACCGCCCGUCACACCAUGGGAGUGGGUUGCAAAAGAAGUAGGUAGCUUAACCUUCGGGAGGGCGCUUACCACUUUGUGAUUCAUGACUGGGGUGAAGUCGUAACAAGGUAACCGUAGGGGAACCUGCGGCUGG